CCGGAGAUCGAGGCCAACGGAUGCCGUACUCUGUCCUCGCCGGGUGCUCAGUGAGGACCCAGAGCUGGGCAGGGACCCUGGGAGGCCCCUGAGCAAGACUUGGAGGGACGCCCUUGUGCCCCCUGAGCACGUGGGGAAGGCGCUGUCCUGGGCCCUGCACCGCUCUGUGUGUUCAUUGCACGAGUGUGUUAAGCACCUACUAUGUGCACAUGGCCGAGCCAAGCGCAGGGAACGGUAAACCAAGGGAGAACGGCCUUCCCGUGGGGAGCAGUGCAGAGGCUGGCGGGGAGGGCUCAGGUUUCAGCUGAGGUCUAAGGACGGAGGGCAGGGAACCGCCUGAGCCCCACCUGGGAGGGGGAGCUCGGUGCCGGGGAGCAGUGCCAGGACCUGCGAUGGGAGAGGUGUGCAGCCCCGAGGGGUCACUGAUGAGGCAGACGGGUCAGUUGGGUUGACACUCAGAGGGUCCUCAGGGGCAGACGCUGAGACGGGGUUUGGGGUUUGGGGUGCAGAGUGAGUACUGGUGAUCAGCACCUGGGAAGGGGUGGGGAGGGUGCAGGGCCGGGCAGGGACUGUAGGGGCGGCCUGCGUUGGGCUUGGCUGGCACAGCCUUUGUGGCUUGCUUGGACCCAUAUGCAGCCGCCCAGGGACGGGAGACCCUGGUGAGGUGUCUGUGGCCCAAGCCCACCCUGAAGGAGCCGUGGGGCCGACUGCCGACCACGCCUGACAGCACGGCCUUUCAGGUCACCCGCUUCCCUCUAGGCCGGCCUGACCCAGCUCACCUCAUUCUCAACCUCACCAGUCAACACCGGUCAACAUCAGUCACAGAGCGUCUGAAAGGAGGAAUUUUCAUUUUCCUUUAAAGUGAAAAGGUAAAAACUGCAUUUACUAAACCAGGCUGGUGGGGGCUCUGUGAGCCCCUCUGCACAGGAAGCCUCAGAGACGCUGCAUGGUGUUCCCGGGGCAUCCUGGCCAAGGUGGGAGAACACAGCCUCUGUGAGGACCCGCGGGAUGCCCUCAGGGGCUGCCUCCUGGUUCUCGUCUCCUCUGAAGUGCAGACGACGCUGGCCCACAUCCUUGUCGGGCAGAGGGGCUGCCGACUGGCCCCUGGCCGUGGCUCUUGCUGGGAGCCGUGUGGCCUGGGCUUGGACCCACAUCCACCUCUUGCUGGCUGCCUGCUCUUGCCAGUGGCUGAGCCUGGCUUCUCCCAUGACAGUGGCCGCAGACAGAGGGGACCCGUGCCACCAGGCAAGGUGUCUGGGGGCGAGGUGAGAGUUCUGCCAAAGCCGGAGCCAGGGUUGGACCCCCGGAGCUACUUGGUCGGCCCCUGGAGGGAGAGUGGUGUGUUCACACCAUGGCCCUGGUGGCCCAGCUCUGCCCAUCUUCAUCCCAGGUGGCAGCUGCUGCCCAGCUCUCUGGCCAGUGCCUCUUAGAUGGUGUCACCACCUGCAGAAGAAAACAGAAGUGCUGACUAAUAUUUGAUGAAGGCCUGCUAUGCCGGCGGCACCUGAUGUGGCAGGUGAAGUCAGGGGGGCAGCAGCCAAAGCUGCCUGUUCCUCAGUGUCCCUGCCCGUGAGACGGGCAUAGCUAACUCCUGUAGCCACCUUGAGGGUAAGAUGCUUCCUGCAGGUGCUUGGACCAGUAUCUGGCACGGGGCAGGUGCUCAGUGAAUGUUCCUUAUUAAUCCCUGUACCUUUCACUGUUGGAAGUAACUCAGGACAUUGGCUUGGUGGUUACACAAGCACUGUGGGAGAAGGUGGUGUAUCUGUUCACCCUGGGUCCCAGUGGCUGAGGCAGAGCCAGCCAUGCAGGAAGCAGGCGUCCAAUAUGUAUAUUGGAUGGAAGAUCGAAUUGCAUAAUAAAAUAUAUUAAAGAUUUCCAGAGUGGAGGGGUGAGGAGGUCAACAAACCCUCUCCCCAAAAUGUACCUGUAAAUCUAAACAAAAGUCAGAAACAACCAUGUCGGUGCUUUGGAAUGUAACCAAAGGCAAACAGCAAACCAAGGAGUGUUUAUUCAUCAAA
ensembl:lincRNA